UGUAUCUGAAACGCAUUCAAUGACAUGGCUCGUUUCAGAGAAAAACAUACUCCAGGCAGUUCAGGAACAAACUGAAAUUAGAAUACUUUUCUCCUGGAGUGGCUGCGCUUCUUUGUGGACUUGGUAUUUUUCUCACAGUUAUUCUCCAAGCUUCUGGUCUUAGAAUUCAGAGUGUUGUUCUACCAAUGGCCUAAGUCUAGUCUAUUCCUGGCACAUUGUAUGGAGACCCUUAUGUUAAACAUCAGUUCCCAAAGAUUAACUGGUACCAUGUCACGAAUCUGCAAGGUUUCUGGAGCAGGAAAUUUUGGUAAACGCCAAAAGGGGAACAGAACCAUUCAGCAUUUCAGUUCCAUUAUAUUGCAGACAACAAAGACUCAUCUGCAGUACCUCUUUACACACAAUACUGGUUUCCUUACCUGACUCAGACAAAUCAUUGGUAAUUUAAAAUAACAUGAAAACUUAAGCAGAUUCUCUGUUGGAAAUACUUGACACUGAUCACUUUAAGGUAGAGAAACAUUUAGCGUGUGUGGUUGUGUGUUGAAAAACUGAUUAAGAGUUCAUAUCAAGCAUGGGACAAUAACAGUAAAAGAACAGAAGCCUGUUUUCUAACUAACGGUGAGAUUCAGACCUCAAAGUCUCACAGCAUGAUGUGUGAUAUAUUUGCUGUUGACUGACAGUGGCUGAUCUGGUGCACAAGUUUGAGCUCGGAGUAAUCCUGAGAGCUAGAUGUCUCUGGCUGCUGGCAAAUUCCCUCCCUCUCUUAGAACUAUGAGACUGUCACUAGUCCUCUCCCUUCUUACUCCCCUUCCUCUUCCCUUUGUUUUGUCUGUGCUUUUCCCUUCUCUUUCCUUCCCUUUCUCCUUCCCUUGGCCCUAUCCCUUUUCCUUCCCCUCUCCCUGCCCUUUCACAAUCCCUUCACCUUUUUGUCAGUGUGCCUUCCUCUUUUCCUUUUCCCUUCCCUUUCCCUUCCCUUUCCAUCUUCUGGAAUCCCUUCUUCAAGCCCCAAGUGUCACAUUUUGAAUAAUGUAGAACUCUCUUAGUUUACAUUAUUGGAAAUAAUAUAAUCCUAAAUUUGGAUGCUUUGUUCAGAGACUGCUUGGUAUAUGAUAAGGUAUAAACACUGGGAGAAGGCACAUUAUCUUCAGCUGUGGGGCAGUUCAAGAUAAAACAAAUGGGAAUAUGGAUACCCUGUUAGCUAGACAAACAAUAACCGAUAGCAUUCAUUCAUCUCUGUGAAAUCUGUCAGCUGCAGUAGGAACUUUAUCAUUUUGCAGGAGUAUAAAUGGCCAGCAGAAAGACCACCAGCCUUAAGCUGAAGGCACCAUGCAAGUCCUUCUCCUCCUCGCAGCUGUAGGGCUUUGCUGGGCACAGUAUGACCCCAACACUCAGACUGGGAGGACGUCUAUCGUGCAUCUCUUUGAAUGGCGCUGGGACGAUAUUGCUCUGGAGUGCGAACGCUAUUUAGCUCCUUAUGGAUUUGGAGGAGUUCAGGUUUCUCCUCCAAAUGAAAACAUUGUCAUUACUAAUCCGAACCGGCCCUGGUGGGAAAGGUACCAGCCCAUCAGCUACAAGAUCUGCAGUCGAUCAGGCACUGAAGAUGAAUUCAGAGACAUGGUGACCAGAUGCAACAACGUUGGAGUUCGCAUUUAUGUGGAUGCUGUUGUCAAUCACAUGUGCGGAUCUAUGGGUGGCACAGGCACCCACUCAACAUGCGGGAGCUAUUUCGACACCGGGACUAGAGAUUUUCCCGCGGUGCCGUACUCUGCCUGGGAUUUCAACGACGGCAAAUGUCAGACCGCCAGUGGAGACAUUGAAAAUUAUGGGGACAUCUAUCAGGUCCGGGAUUGUAAGUUGACUAGCCUUCUUGAUCUGGCUCUGGAGAAGGACUAUGUACGCUCAACAAUUGCAGAUUACAUGAAUCACCUCAUUGAUAUGGGUGUAGCAGGGUUCCGGAUCGAUGCUGCCAAGCAUAUGUGGCCUGGGGACAUAAGUGCGUUUCUGGCCAAAUUGCACAAUCUAAACACUCAGUGGUUUUCAGCAGGAACAAAACCCUUUAUUUUCCAAGAGGUAAUUGACUUGGGAGGAGAGCCAAUCACAGGCAGUCAAUACUUUGAAAAUGGCCGAGUGACAGAGUUCAAGUACGGUGCAAAACUGGGGACGGUGAUCCGCAAGUGGGAUGGAGAGAAGAUGGCCUACUUAAAGAACUGGGGAGAAGGCUGGGGCUUUGUGCCUUCUGACAGAGCCCUGGUCUUUGUGGAUAACCACGACAACCAGCGGGGGCACGGGGCAGGCGGAGCUUCCAUUCUUACCUUCUGGGAAUCCAGGCUUUAUAAAAUGGCAGUUGGUUUCAUGCUCGCUCAUCCGUACGGGUUCACGCGGGUGAUGUCAAGUUAUCGUUGGCCAAGAUAUUUUGAGAAUGGAGAGGAUGUCAACGACUGGGUUGGACCGCCGAGUAACUCGGAUGGAUCGACGAAGUCCGUGACAAUCAAUGCCGACACUACCUGUGGCAACGACUGGGUCUGUGAACAUCGCUGGCGACAAAUAAGGAACAUGGUUGUCUUCCGUAACGUGGUAGACGGUCAGCCUUUCUCAAACUGGUGGGACAAUGAUAGCAAUCAAGUAGCUUUCGGUCGUGGCAACAAAGGCUUCAUUGUCUUUAAUAAUGACGACUGACAAAUGACAGUUUUUGGUCACAACAACCCCAGGCAAACCUGCAGGCUUGUGGAGGAGUGGCUGGAAAGCUGUCAUACAGAAAGGACCUCAGCGCACCGAUAGACGGUCGGCUGAAUACGAGCCAGCAAUGUGCUCAGGUGGCCAGGAAGGCCACUGGCAUGCUGGCUCGUAUGGGGAACGGUGCGGUGAGCAGGACUAGAGAAAUCAUCCUGCCCCUGUAGUCGGCGAGGCCUCAUCUCGAGUACUGUGUUCAGCUUGGGGCACCUCAGCGCAGAAAGGACGUGGAGGCGCCGGAGCAGGUCCGAAGAAGAGCAGCAAGGCUCGCAAAGGGCUUGGAGAAUGUGCCCUGCGAGGAGCGACUGAAGGAACUGGUGCUGUUUAAUCUGGGGGAAAGGAGGCCAGAGGAGAGACCUUAUCACUCUCUUCUAAUGCCUGGAAAGUGCUUACGGCAAGAGCAGGGUUGGUCUCUUCUCACCGGCGAAAGGUGACAGGACAAGGGGAAACGGCCUCAAGUUGCGCCAGGGGAAGCUUAGAUUGGAUAUGGGGAAAAACUUCUUUACAGAAAGGGCUGUGAAGCACUGCAAUAGGCUCCCCAGGGAGGCAGUUGAGACACCAUGCCCAGGUGUGUUUAAGAACCAUUUGGACGCGGUGCUCAGGGACAUGAUUUAGCAGAGGGUUGUGAGGGUAGUCUGGUUAGGUUGUGGUUGGACUCGACGAUCUUCCAGGUUUCUUCCAAAUUGAACAAUUAUACAAAUCUACGAUUCAGUGACUUUUCUGACCUAUCCCCAAAUUCAGAACGCACCAAUGCUGUGAGUACUCGUUUACCUGGGAUAUGGUAGCUUGGUAAAUAAACACUGUGCUCAGCCUUCAUUUUGUCAUAAUGAAAUUCUUCAGGUAGGCGAUGCUCGUCUCUUAUUAUUUCCUUAGGAGUGACUAAAGUUUUAAAAAGUGUCUAAUUUGCUUCUCGUAACGCUGACAGUUUGGCAGCGAGGUGUUUAUGUGCCUCACUCAUAGCUGUGAUUUUUUUCCGGCAUUAAAAUCUGAGCAGCUUUACUCAGGGUUUUGCACCAGAGAUCAUUUUGCUUGCUGUGGCAGUGUGUUUCUUAUUAUGCAAUUGUUACAGGAUCGCUGCCUGAUGCGGUUAAAAACAGCCUGCUCUGAUCUCGGCCACUCCGCGACCUCGCUGCCGAAGCUCCCGGCAGAAGCCAUGUUAAAGAUGUGGCCUUGCCUUAUAGGCAACGCAGGAGAGCCAGCCAGCAUCAAACGCAUCCCAAAGUUUUUGCCAAUGUUUUCACUUACUGUUGCAACAUUAUCGAGCAGAAUUCACGCUGAUGCCGCGCUGGCCUUGAGGAAAAUAAUAGCCAAAAAAGACCCUGUGAAGGUAACCAGCAUUAUUGUGUCUGAGAUUGCAUUUGACAGUGCGAUUCGGGCUGCCUUAGCGAUGUGGGAAUAAUAAAGGCAUCGGGUGACGGUAGCAACUCCAGGCAGAUUUUAUAGUAACCGGUUUUCCUCUUUCCCACGUUGCAAAUCCCUGGCAUUACCCCAUCCAUGUUGACAUUCUGGGAAGGGGGUUGCAUCAGUCACCGUCACACUGCGACUGUUGCUAACAGGUCUUUCUUCCAGCCCUGUUCAUUACGCAUCCAGCAAUUUUUUUCAUUUUCAGCGAUGGGCUCUGUGCUCAACACUUUUUUGGGGGUUUUGUUCACCAUUCACUGCAGAUCAGACGUGCACAGUUUAGGAAACACUUUUUCCUGAGGAAUUUUGAGGUGUUCACAAGUUGUACCUUCCUUCUCAAGGUAAGGGAGAUCACUCUCCAAGUUUGUAUGGACAGUGCACUCGCUCCUUAUGUGCGUGUGACCACUUGCAUUGUUCUCUUUGAAACACAGCCUUCUCUUCCUAUCUUGGCAGCCAGGGCCAGCUCGCUGCUGACGCAGACCAGCUAAUGAGCGGCUAGUUUCACGCAUACACACACGAAGGCUUUGGCAGUAGGCAGGAUCCCACAGCUCUACAAUCUACAAGUAGAAGAGAUAGAAUUUGUAGCUGCAGACGGUGUGACACAUUUUGCUGUGUUUUCUAAGAAUUUGGUCACAGUUUACUAUCUUCAUAUGGUUUUAACUCUUUACCAUUCAGAUUUGCUGCUUGCAACAUUUCCAUUAAACUUCUGAGCCCCAGACUUGAGGGGUCAAGGGCCGAUCACGGUCUCUUUCGGAGACCCUUGGGAGCUACUUCUGGAGGACGCGGGUCCCAGGAAGGCUGGGAAUAUUGUAACGAAGAAAUUUUAAAGGUGCAGGAGCUGACCAUCCCGAAGACACAGAAGAUGAACCGAUGGGGAAGGAGACCGGCCUGGCUGAGCAGAGGCCUUCGGCCGGAACUCAGGAAAAAAGGAAAGUUUGCAGUCAUUAGAAGGGGAGGUGAGCAACUUAUGAGGAUUACAAAUACGCAGUGAAGCUGCGCGGGGAGAAAAUCGGAAAGACGUGAACAACUUAUGGGCUGGCUACACCCAUUUCCGUGACCAGAUGGAGCACGGGUAACCACAGACUCACACCCCAGGGAAGGGGGAAUGGGAAAAGGGGAAAAAAAAGAGGUAUGGAGACGGGCCUAAGAACAGAACAGUGACGACAAUCUGAGUCUUAUAUAUCCGCUGUCAGGAACGUACAAAACUUUUCUUUUUAUUGAAAGCAGUAAUGAAUAAGUAACCACCGCUCAUAAAAAUGUGAUCGCAUCACGGAAGGCCUGAGCAGCCAUUCCCCUCGUAUUCACCGCACCUUUUGGCGGCUUUAAUUGCACGGUAAUUUGUAGGCACCUAGCAGUUUAAGAGGAGCCCGCCAGCAACAUCGUCGAGCCUCUCGGUCAGAUUCCGCAGCUCAGGAUCUCCACCCUUCAAAAGGACACGACCCUUCACAGACAGUAGGUUCCAAAAGUGAGAGAUGCUGUAUGUAGAUAAUUGAUGUGUAAGCCACUAGUUGUGUGAGACAGGAACCGAUUGGUGUCAUUUAGAAAUACAGAUGAACUAGACAGCUUUUGGAGAAAAGCAGUAGGAACACGUUCUCGCUAGCUGUACUCAAAACCGCUUCUAUGAGGGAAGCUCUUUGUAGUCGUUUUUCUUUCUCUCGUCAAGCUGGAAAUGUUGGGAGAAAGAGCUUGUUGUAAUCAUUUAGAACUGUGGCCUACAAUUGCUUGUGAAACACGCUAUUUGCAAUUUAGGCCAUCCUCUGGGAAACCAUCUAGUGAGUAGGAUGUGCAGUACAAACAUUCACAGUUCUACAAUUAUAAAAAAUAAAAUUGAGCACAGGCCAACUGUCAGAAUUUUAAAUGAGGAAUGAAACUGCUAUCUGAGGUGAACGUUAUCGCUGAAGUCUUGUAGUGCCUGUGUCCAUGAUUAGAAAUAAUUAAAAUCUUAGAGAAAGUCAUCCUACUGAUUUAUAGGACACGGGAACGUAGCCCAGAGCAACGCCGCACGGAACUGUUUGCAAAGCUCCGCUUCCAAUUUCACCGCUAUGCAAUUUUCUGGUGUGUAUCAGUAGCCCAGUUGGCCACCGGUCACAUUGCCGCUGCUGUAUUUCC